AUUGAACGCUGGCGGCAUGCUUUACACAUGCAAGUCGAACGGUAACAGGCCGCAAGGUGCUGACGAGUGGCGAACGGGUGAGUAAUGCAUCGGAACGUGCCCAGUCGUGGGGGAUAACGCAGCGAAAGCUGUGCUAAUACCGCAUACGAUCUAUGGAUGAAAGCGGGGGACCGUAAGGCCUCGCGCGAUUGGAGCGGCCGAUGUCAGAUUAGGUAGUUGGUGGGGUAAAGGCCUACCAAGCCGACGAUCUGUAGCUGGUCUGAUAGGACGACCAGCCACACGGGGACUGAGACACGGCCCAGACUCCUACGGGAGGCAGCAGUGGGGAAUUUUGGACAAUGGGCGCAAGCCUGAUCCAGCAAUGCCGCGUGCAGGAAGAAGGCCUUCGGGUUGUAAACUGCUUUUGUACGGAACGAAACGGUCUGGGUUAAUACCCUGGGCUAAUGACGGUACCGUAAGAAUAAGCACCGGCUAACUACAUGCCAGCCGCCGCCGUAACAC
rnacentral:rRNA from 1 species